rnacentral:lncRNA from 1 species
AUUUGUAACCUGAGAAACAAAACCGAAAGAUAAAGGUGUUAGGAUCCAUAAAACAAAGUAAAUGUAAAAUAAAUUGUAUAGUAUAACAAUAAUGUGGAAUGGAAACUAUGUAAGAGGUAAUGAUAUGCAUAGCUCAUGAUCAUAAACAACACAUGGGAAUAUAUACGAAGCCCUAUCAACUAAUCAUGAAACCCUACACAGAAAUAUGACACUUAAUUCAAUGUCAACCCCAAUCUUGCAAUGACGAACUCAAUAUUCCAGAAACUAACCCCUCUCUAAUCAUC